rnacentral:lncRNA from 1 species
UUGUGAAAAUUAAAUAAAAUUAGAUAAGACAAAAAUUAUAAAAUGAAAACUCAUUAUAAAAUCAUUUUUUUUUUGUAAGAAAUGACUUAAGUUUAUGAUUUUUUUAAUUGGGGCUACAGAUGACAGAAAAAAGGUUGGGGUAGGAGAGAUGAAAGAGAAAUGAUUAAGAGGAAUGAGAGAGGUGAGUAAGGGUUUGAGUUUUUUUUUAGUUUUAAGAAUGAAAAUUAUUUAAAUAUCCUUGACUUUAAAAUCCAUAGUAUAUGAGGGUAUUUUUGUCUACUAUAAUCCGGUACACAUUGUUAAAAUAUACCAACUGAAAAACAGGCCUACGCGCGUUUAUAUAUAUA